rnacentral:lncRNA from 1 species
UCUGAGGCCUCCCCAGCCAUGUGGAACGCUAAGCCCAAUUAACUCUCUUUUUUCUUCCCAGUCUCAGUUAUGUCUUUAUCAGCAGCGUGAAAAUGGACUAAUAGAGUAAAUUGGUACCAAUAGAGCGGGGCGUUGCUGAAAAGAUACCUGAAAAUGUGGAAGCGACUUUGGAACUGGGUAACAAGCAGAGGUUGGAACAGUUUGGAGGGCUCACAAGAAGACAGGGAAAUGUGGGAAAGUUUGGAACUUCCUAGAGAGUUGUUGAAUGGCUUUGACAAAAAUGCUGAUAGUGAUAUGAACAAUAAGGUCCAGACUGAGGUGGUCUCAUAUGGAGAUGAGGAAGUUGUUGGAAACUGGCGCAAAGGUGACUCUUGUUAUGUUUUCGCAAAAAGACUGGUGGCAUUUUGCCCCUGCCCUAGAAAUUUUUGGAACUUUGAACUUGAGAGAGAUGAUUUAGGGUAUCUAGUGGAAAAAAAUUUCUAAGCAGCAAAGUGUUCAAAAGGUGACUUGGGUGCCAUUAAAAGCAUUUAGUUUUGGAUGCGCACGGUGGCUCAUGCCUGUAAUCCCGGCACUUUGGGAGGCCAAGGUGGGCGGAUUAUGAGGUCAGGAGUUGGAGACUAGCCUGGCCAACAUAGUGAAACCCCCGUCUCUACUAAAAAUACAAAAAUUAGCUGGGCUUGUUGUCAGAUGCCUGUAAUCUCAGCUACUUGGGAGGCUGAAGCAAGAGAAUCGCUUGAAGGUGGGAGACAGAGGUUGCAGUGAGCCAAGAUCAUGCCACUGCUCUCCAGCCAGGGUGAGAGAGCGAGACUCUGUCUCAAAAAAGAAAAAAAAAAAAAAGCAUUUAGUUUUAAAAGGCAAACAGAACAUGAAAGUUUGGAAAAUUUGCAGCCUCACAAUGUGAUAGAAAAGAAAAACCCAUUUUUCUGAGGAGAAAUUCAAGCCGUCUGCAUAAAUUUGCAUAAGGGGAGCCGAAUGUUAAUCCCCAGGACAAUGGGGAAAAUAUCUCCAAGGCUUGUCAGAGGUCUUCACAGCAGGGCCUCCCAUCACAGGCCCAGAGGUCUAGGAGAACAUGGUUUCCUUGGUCAGCCCAGUGUCCCUGUGCUGUGUGCAGCCUAGGAACUUGGUGCCCUGUGCCCCAGCCACUCCAGCCAUGGCUGAAAGGGGCCAACGUAGAGCUCGGGCCUUGGCUUCAGAGGGUGUAAGCCGCAAGCCUUGACAGCUGCCACAUGGUGUUGAGCCUGUGAGUGCACAGAAGUCAAGAACUAAAGUUUGAGAACCUCCACCUAGAUUUCAGAAGAUGUAUUGAAAUGCCUGGAUGCCCAGGCAUAAGUUUGCUGCAGGGGCGGGGUACUCAUGGAGAACCUCUGCUAGGCAGUGCAGAAGAGAAAUGUGGGGUUGGAGCCCCUACACAGAGUCCCUACUGGGGCACUGCCUAGUGGAGCUGUGAGAAGAGGGCCACCAUCCUCCAGACCCCAGAAUGGUAGAUCACCGACAGCUUGCACCAUGCACUUGGAAAAGUCACAGACACUCAAUGGCAGCCCAUGAAGGCAGCUGGUAGGGAGGCUAUACCCUGCAAAGCCACAAGGGCAGAGCUGCCCAAGACCAUGGGAACCCACCUCUUGCAUCAGCAUGACCCAGAUUUGAGACAUGGCAUCAAAGGACAUCAUUUUGGAGCUUUAAGAUUUGACUGCCCUGCUGGAUUUCAGACUUUCAUGGGGCUGGUAGCCCCUUUGUUUUGGCCAAUUUCCCCCAUUUGGAAUGGCUGUAUUUACCCAUGUCACACAGGUAGAACUCAGUGUGCCUGUACCCCCAUUGUAUCUAGGAAGUAACUAAAUUGCUUUUGAUUUUACAGGCUCAUAGGUGGAAGGGACUUGUCUUGUCUCAGAUAAGACUUUGGACUGUGGACUUCUGCGUUAAUGCUGAAAUAAGUUAAGACUUUGGGGGACUGUUGGGAAGGCAUGAUUGGUUUUGAAAUGUGAGGACUUGAGAUUUAAAGGGGACAAGGGCAGAAAGAUGGUUUGGCUCUGUGUCCCCAUGCAAAUCUCAUCUUGAAUUUUACUCGCAUAAUCCCAUGUGUUGUGGGAGGGACCUGGUGGGAGAUAAUUUGAAUCAUGGAGGUGGUUUCCCCCAUGCUAUUCUCAUGGUCGUGAAUAAGGCUCACAAGAUCUGAUGGUUUUAUCAGGGGUUUCCGCUUUGGCAUCUUCCUCAUUUUCUCUUGCUACCACCAUGUAAGAAGUGCCAUUGCCUCCCGCCAUGAUUCUGAGGCCUCCCCAGCCAUGUGGAACUGUUAAGUCCAAUUAAACCUCUUUUUCUUGCCAGUCUCGGUUAUGUCUUUGUCAGCAGUGUCAAAACAGACUAAUACAGGUGCCUUUUUUUUAAAGAAGUAUCUAUUCAUGUCUUUGGCCCACUUUUUCAUGGAGUUACUUGUUCUUUGCUUGUUGAAUUGUUCAAGUUUGUUAUCGAUUCCAGAUGUUAGACCUUUGUCAGAUGCAUAGUUUGCAAAUAUUUUCUCCCACUUUGCAGGCUGUUUACUCGGUGGAUAGUUUAUUUUGCUGUACAGAAGCUCUUUUUUAAUUAUUAUACUUUAAGUUCUAGGGUACAUGUGCAUAAGGUACAGGUUUGUUACAUAUAUAUACAUGUGCCAUGUUGGUGUGCUGCACCCAUUAACUCGUCAUUUACAUUAGAUAUAUCUCCCAGUGCUAUCCCUCCCCUCUCCCCCUACCCCACAACAGGCCCCGGUGUGUGGUGUUCCCCACCCUGUGUCCAAGCAUUCUCAUUGUUCAGUUCCUACCUAUGAGUGAGAACGUGCGGUGUUUGGUUUUCUGUCCUUGCGAUAGUUUGCUCAGAAUGAUGGUUUCCAGCUUCAUCCAUGUCCCUACAAAGGACAAGAACUCAUCCUUUUUUAUGGCUGCAUAGUAUCCCGUGGUGUAUAUGUGCCACAUUUUCUUUAUUCAGUCUAUCAUUGAUGGACAUUUGGGUUGGUUCCAAGUCUUUGCUAUUGUGAAUAGUGCCACAAUAAACAUAUGCGUGCAUGUGUCUUUAUGGCAGCAUGAUUUAUAAUCCUUUGGGUAUAUACCCAGUAAUGGGAUGGCUGGGUCAAAUGGUAUUUCUAGUUCUAAAUCCUUGAGGAAUCGCCAAACUGUCUUCCACAAUGGUUGAACUAGUUUACAGUCCCACCAACAGUGUAAAAGUGUUCCUAUUUCUCCACAUCCUCUCCAGCACGUGUUGUUUCCUGACUUUUUAAUAAUUGCCAUUCUAACUGGUGUGAGAUGGUAUCUCAUUGUAGAUUUGAUUUGCAUUUCUCUCAUAGCCGGUGAUGAUGAGCAUUUUUUCACGUGUCUGUUGGCUGCAUAAAUGUCUUCUUCUGAAAAGUGUCUGUCAUAUCCUUCACCCACUUUUUGAUGGGGUUGAUUUUUUUCUUGUAAAUUUGUUUAACUUCUUUGUAGAUUCUAGAUAUUAGCACCUUGUCAGAUGGGUAGAUUGUAAAAAUUUUCUCCCAUUCUGUAGGUUGCCUGUUCACUCUGAUGGUAGUUUCUUUUGCUGUGCAGAAGCUCUUUAGUUUAGUUAGAUCCCAUUUGUCAAUUUUGGCUUUUGUUGCCAUUGCUUUUGGUGUUUUAAUCAUGAAGUCCUUGCCCCUGCCUAUGUCCUGAAUGGUAUUACCUAGGUUUUCUUCUA